UACGUAGGGUGCAAGCGUUGUCCGGAAUUAUUGGGCGUAAAGAGCUCGUAGGCGGUUUGUCGCGUCUGCUGUGAAAACGCGGGGCUCAACUCCGCGCCUGCAGUGGGUACGGGCAGACUAGAGUGCGGUAGGGGAGACUGGAAUUCCUGGUGUAGCGGUGAAAUGCGCAGAUAUCAGGAGGAACACCGGUGGCGAAGGCGGGUCUCUGGGCCGUAACUGACACUGAGGAGCGAAAGCGUGGGGAGCGAACAGG
rnacentral:rRNA from 1 species